CCCUUAGAUGUUCUGGGCCGCACGCGCGCUACACUGAUGAAUUCAACGAGCACUAACCUGUGCAGAAAUGUUCGGGUAAUCUUGUGAAAUUUCAUCGUGAUGGGGAUUGAUUAUUGCAAUUAUUAAUCAUAAACGAGGAAUGCCUAGUAAGCGUGAGUCAUCAGCUCACGUUGGUUACGUCCCUGCCCUUUGUACACACCGCCCGUCGCUCCUACCGAUUGAAUGUGCUGGUGAAAAGUUCGGAUUGGGAAUAGGAGACGGCAACGUAUCCUGUUUCUGAGAAAAUCUUUAAACCCUCCCAUUUAGAGGAAGGAGAAGUCGUAACA
rnacentral:rRNA from 1 species